rnacentral:rRNA from 1 species
AUGCUAGGAUCGCUCACCUUCUCCUUCCCCGCUGUUGCUUGCCUUCCUCGCCGGCCUCCUCCUUCCCUUUUCGUCCGCAUCCUACACCUCCCCUGCAUCCCCACCCGCACCGCGAAGACGACCUACGUCCGAUCUGGAUCGACGGUGACAUGGAAGAGGACAGGAGUGAGGCGAGCGGAGGAGAAGGCUGGCGGUGGGAUCGACAGCGACAUGAUAGAGGAGAGGAGGAGGCGAGUGGAGAGACGAGGUCGGCCGGCGGCUGCUGGCGAGGAGAGGAUGGUGGGGAUCGAGGGAGGGGUGCGGUGGCUCGUGGGGAUCGAGGGGAAAGAGAAAGAGGGCUAG